AUGGCGGCCUCACCGGCAACAUCGUCCGCGGCCGCGAGGGCCUCCACCUUCGCACGGCUAUCCAACGCGCCCCUGCGUGCGCCCAGAGCCGCCGCCGUCUCGUUCCCGUCUCCCAACUCCGCUCGUCCGGCCGCGCUGGUCGCGGAUGCUCGGGCUUCCCGGCUCCCCGUCGUGGCCGCAGCCGCCGGAGGGCACCAGCGGCUGAUGGGGUCGCUGACCAACACCGAGGGGCUCAGGUUCGGCGUGGUUGUGGCACGGUUCAAUGAGAUAGUGACCAACUUGCUUCUGCAGGGGGCUUUAGAGGCAUUCGAGCGAUACUCUGUCAAAGCAGAAAAUAUCACCGUUGUUAGUGUUCCUGGCAGCUUUGAAAUUCCUGUUGCAGCACAGAAGCUUGGGAAGUCUGGAAAGUAUGAUGCAAUUUUGUGCAUUGGGGCUGUGAUUAGAGGUGACACAACCCACUAUGAUGCUGUUGCAAACUCUGCUGCUUCAGGUGUACUCAAUGCUGGAUUGUCUGCUGGCGUCCCCUGCGUAUUUGGUGUUCUGACCUGUGAUGACAUGGACCAGGCGCUAAAUCGUGCUGGUGGCAAGGCUGGAAACAAAGGUGCUGAGACCGCCAUAACUGCUAUUGAGAUGGCCUCGCUGUUUCGGCAUCACUUAGCCUGA
rnacentral:rRNA from 1 species